GUAUAUACAAUUUUAUUUGUCAAUUAUACUUCAAUAAAGCUGGGAAAAAGAAAGACCUGUUGUUAAACCAAAAAGUAAAAAAUGAAACAAAAUAACAAAACAUAAAUGUGUAGAAUAUUUUGUAUGGUAUACACCUACUUAUGUUAAACAAAAGGAAAAUAUGGUAUGUGUAUAUUUUUUCUGUGUAUUUAUGCAUAUACAUCUAGAUAGAUGAGGCACAAAAAACUGACACUAGAGUACUAGGGACCCAUAACACUGUUUGGAAGUUUAUUUUGAAAAUUUAUUUUACCAUGCCUUUUAAACCCUGUAUACUAUCUUUUCCAAAAAACUAAUAAAAUGUUAGGACAUAAGGAGGAAUAACUGACAUUUAUAUAGUACUUCAUGAUUUACAAAGCACUUUUAUUUGCAUUGUUUCCUUUGGCACUCACCCCAUUAUAGAGAUGGCAACACUGGAACAGAGAAGUGGAAUGAGCUACCCAAGGUCACUCACUGCUGACCUUGAAUACUGCCCUUCCUCAUUUCCCAAAGCAAGACUCUAUCACUUCAGUCUGUUUUAUUGAACCACAAACUGCCAUUCUCUAAGCAGUCAAUCCUAGGUUACAUAAAAAUGGAAAAAAAAGGCCUGUUUCAUGAACUUUUCACCCCCUGCAUCCCUUUCUGCCACACUUGUUGAUUUUCUGCUGAAAAGCCACAUGGGCCGUUUAUACAGGUAGAACUUUUCACUCCCACCACGUGUACCAAAUCAGUCUGCAUGUAGUAAGCACUUAAUAAACCUGAAUUGAUCUUAUUUGAUAGACUAAUUCUCAGUUUAUACAUGUUUGCUUCUUUGGCCUGAAAUGGAAUAUGCUUCCUUUUUUUUUUUUUUUUUUUUUUUUUUUGUCUUUUUGCCUUUUCUAGGGCCACACCCAAAGCAUAUGGAGUGGCCCAAGAAAUGUCAAAAAGACAAAACAAAAAACAAAAAAAACCCAGAUUGUUCAUCUCUUCCUGGGCUUCUUUUAAUGUGGCAAGAAUUCAAAAUCCAGAUUAAGAACCAACUACAGAGCUCCUUCUGGGCUCUCCUAAGCUUGCAGAAUUACAGUGAGAAACCGUGUAUGGCAAGUAUAAUAGCUAAAACGAUUCUGCAAUUGUUUCGGCCUCUGCAAGUACAGCUUUCAAACUUAACAUCAGAUAGAACCUACUAUCGUCAGUGACAGCGUUCCAGGGAGGGCGCGUGUUUCAGGGAUGCAAGGAAGAAGGGUUACCGUCAAGAGGUAAAUGGUUACCACUAUCUUUAAAAAAUGGAAAGAGGUGUAAAGGAGUCGAACAUGACAUUAAUCAGGGUAAAGAGGCCACAACUCCUCUUCCCCUGAAAAAAAGCAAAAAAGGCUUAGAUAAUUCCCUAAAGUCCUCUAAUAAACAAAUGAAAUUAAAAAAAAUUUUUUUUUGGCUGCACCCAUGGCAUGUGGAAUUUCCUGGGCCAGGGAUCAAACAUGCACCACAGCAGCAAUAGCACUGGCAGCAAUAACCUGCUGUGCCACAGAACUCUUGCAAAGACUGUCUUUUGAAUGCUCCAGGGUGACUGCAGUACUCCAUUUGAGGGAGGGAAAAUCAACUUCACAUCGCAGAGACACAUGGUUUUGGCUCUGGGGUAAAACUCAGGGUUCCUUUAUUUAUUUACUUUUUUCAUGGCUGCACCUAUGGCAUAUGAAGUUCUCAGGCUAGGGGUCAAAUUGGAGCUGCAGCUGCCAGUCUGCACCACAGCCAUGGCAAUGCUGGAUCCUUAACCCACUGAGUGAGGCCAGGGAUCAAACCCACAUCCUCAUGGAUCCUAGUUGGAAUCAUUAACUGAUGAGCCAUGAAGGGAACUCCAUGUCUUUUUUUCUUUCUCCUUUUUACGGCCACACCUUGACAUAUGAAAGUUCCUGGGCUAGGGGUUGAAUCAGAGCUGCAGCUGCUGGCCACAGCUACAGCAACGUGGGAUCCAAGCCAAGUCUGCAACCUACACUGCAGCUUAUGGCAAUGCCGGAUCCUAAUCCACUGAUCUAGGCCAGGGAUCAAACCAGAGUCCUCAUGGAUACUCCUGAUACUCCAGGAGCUGGGUCUUAAUAAAUCAAUCUCGGGAAAAUUCCCCUUCUGCUGCCAGGAGGGAAGUACCAUAGCAGAAUCACUCUAAGAGAGUUAACUAGGCCUUCUCCAGGAGAAAACAAAAUAGCUCUCCUCGAAUGUGGCAAGAGUGACUUUUCUUUUUUAGAUAAGCCCAUGGACUGGCUCACAAGCCAAAAUUUGCCAUCAGCCCAAGCAUCGUGGUAUCGGGCAUAGCAGCCAAAUAUUAUGGGUAGUGUGUGUAGCUUGUAUAUCUUGACUACACAAGGAGAAGGGUUUCCAAGUGAUGCCAGAAGGCCGUUCGUUCGUGAUUUACCAGGUUCUCCAUACUCUGCUGGCAGGCUGUGUGGAUCAGCUUCUCAGCCCUCGUAGUGAGGACCACUUCAUUGAGCAAGCAGGGAAGAGGGGUUGGUUGCUUUGGUGACUUAUCUCACCCAGGGGAUCCUAACAAGUCACAUUUAUGACAGUUUUCCACCUCAGCUU
rnacentral:lncRNA from 1 species